GUGAGGAUGAAGGGCUGGAGGAGCUCUUGGAACAGCCCUCCACUCCGGACACAUUUGAGGCAGCAAAGGACCUCAUUGCAUUGUCCGUUGAGGGCCCUCCACGAACUGAGGACGCUCCGCCGAAGCUGCCACACAGAGGCAAGCCGGCGAUGGUGCGCCCAUCACGGUCGCCAUCUCGGCACCGUUCAAGGCACCGGUCCCGGUCGAGCUCCGCCUCGGUGGACUCCCGGUUGCCCUCGGCGCAGAAAGCGCCGCAGCAGUCGGGCUUCAGCAAGCGGUCGGCACCGAAAUGCAUGUCCGUGGUAGCAGCCUUCCUUCGGAAGAGAAGGAUGCGCGUGAUUCCGUACUUGGACAACUGGCUCCUCACGGGCAGGUCAGAGGCCGAGGUCCGCUCUCACGUGACGCUGGCCUUACAGAUGUUCGGCAGGCUCGGCCUCCUGGUCAACGUGCCCAAGUCCACGUUAGCUCCCACACAGAGACUGGACUUCAUAGGUGCAGUCCUGGACUCGGUGACCGCGCGGGCAAGCCUCCCAGAGUCACGGUUCCUGACAAUUCAGAGGGCCGUAAGCUCAGUCCAAAAAUUCCCCACGACAACAGCAAGGUGUUGCAUGCAGCUCCUGGGACACAUGGCAGCCUGCACACAUGUAGUCAGACAUGCCCACCUAAGGCUCCGGCCCUUGCAGUUGUGGUUUACCCAAACGUACCGCCCCAACAGAGACCCCUUGGAUCUGGUGGUGACGAUCCCGGAUCGGGUGUUGGGCUCGCUCCGCUGGUGGCUCGAUCAACAGCAGGUCUGCGAAGGGAUCCCCUUCGCUGCCCCACAGCCCACUCUGACGUUAGUAACAGAUGCAUCGGACCUGGGUUGGGGGGCGCAUCUGGGGGAACUGCGGACCCAAGGUUUGUGGUCCAAAGAAGACAGGUUGCUUCACAUCAAUCUAAAGGAGUUAAGAGCGGUUCGCCUCGCCUGUCAGACCUUCCACGCCACCAUAGAAGGUCACAGCGUGGCAGUCCUGACGGACAACACUACCGCCAUGUUCUAUAUAAACAAGCAGGGCGGGUCCCGGUCCUCUCCCCUCUGUCGCGAGGCACUCCAAUUAUGGGACUUCUGUAUAGCCCAUGCGAUCCAUCUCAUUGCAACGUAUCUCCCGGGGAUCCAAAACGGCUUAGUGGACUGCCUCAGCCGAUCCUACCAAAUGCACGAAUGGGCGUUGAGGCGAGACGUCCUGCAUUCAAUCUUCCGGAGGUGGGGUUUUCCCCGGGUGGAUCUUUUCACCACCAAGGACAACAGUCAAUGCCCUCAGUUUUGCUCGUUUCAGAACCUCAGCCCGGGAUCAUUGGCAGAUGCCUUCACGAUUCCGUGGGGAGGGAGCCUGAGGUAUGCCUUCCCUCCGUUCCCGCUCAUACACAAGGUUCUCCUCAAGACCCGCAGGGACAGGGCGACAAUUAUACUCAUCGCCCCGGCCUGGCCACGCCAGCAUUGGUUCACGACCCUGCUGGAAUUGUCCAUAGCCGACCCGAUCACCCUCCCCCUCCAUCACGACCUAGUCACACAAGACAAGGGUCGCCUGUUCCACCCGAACCUGUCAUCGCUACAUCUCACGGCGUGGUAUCUCUCUGGCUGAACGAUGCGGAACACAGGUGCUCUCACCAGGUUCAACAAAUUCUCCUUAGUAGUAGGAAGCCCUCCACAAGAGCGACCUACCUGGCCAAAUGGAAAAGGUUCUCCCACUGGUGCGAGCCUCAGGCCUCAGUUCCGUCGAUCCUGGACUACUUACUACACCUCAAGCAUCAGGGGCUUGCGCCCGCCUCGAUUAGAGUGCAUUUAGCUGCCAUUUCGGCAUUCCAUCCGGGAGAGUUGGGAGUGUCAGUGUUCUCCAACCCCACAGUGGCCCGAUUCCUCAAGGGGCUGGAGAGGGUGUUUCCCUACUCGCGCCCACCGGUCCCUGCGUGGAGUCUGAACCUAGUCCUAACUAAGCUCAUGGGGCCCCCCUUUGAACCCCUAGCCACUUGCUCCCUCAUGCACCUCUCGUGGAAGGUGGCGUUUCUCUUG
ensembl:lncRNA